rnacentral:rRNA from 1 species
CGAACGGGUGAGUAACGCGUGGGGAAUCUGCCUUUGAGCGGGGGACAACAUUUGGAAACGAAUGCUAAUACCGCAUAAAACUUUAAACACAAGUUUUAAGUUUGAAAGAUGCAAUUGCAUCACUCAAAGAUGAUCCCGCGUUGUAUUAGCUAGUUGGUGAGGUAAAAGCUCACCAAGGCGAUGAUACAUAGCCGACCUGAGAGGGUGAUCGGCCACAUUGGGACUGAGACACGGCCCAAACUCCUACGGAAGGCAGCAG